CGGUGUCGCUGCUUCCACUGAUUAGCUUGGCCAGGUCCACCACCCACAGGUCCACCACGGGGUUGAAGCGACCAGGCUGCGCGAAGAAGGUAUUUUCGAGCCCCAUUGUUCACUCCGCCCUUGUCCGCAAGGCCUAUAAAGAGGCGCGGAGAGCAGCAUGACGUCACAACCCCCACAGAUGACAAGCACGAACGGCGUUGUCCAACACUUACAUAUGCCAGAGUUGACAUGCACAGAAACGCACACACUCCGACUUUCACACCUAAGCAAGCACGUUCACUCCAGGCAAGUAAGCACGCCAGACCCACUCCGGGCUUAAUCGAGCUACAAGCACACGAUCGCAUGUUGAGAACCUAGAAGCUCAGACGAAUUUUGAGGACGCAGUGAAAGAGUAUCUUAAUACUCUCUCUCACUGUCAGGAUCACGAUCGUCACUCCUUCACAUGCUCGCGAUCCACCCACGGAGGACCUAAGGCAACACACCAGAAAAUAUAGGCCUAAAGCCCUUUGUUCAGAGCAAAUCCUGGCGACCUCCCUUCUCUUCCCCAUGCGAAAAAUAAAUAAAUAUAUAAAUCCAAACC